UAUUGGUCAAUGGACGCGAGUCUGAACCAGCCAAGUAGCGUGAAGGGUGACUGCCCUAUGGGUUGUAAACUUCUUUUAUAUGGGAAUAAAGUUUGGUAUGUAUAUCAUUUUGUAUGUACCAUAUGAAUAAGGAUAGGUUAACUCCGUGCCAGCAGCCGCGGUAAUACGGAGGAUCCGAGCGUUAUCCGGAUUUAUUGGGUGUAAAGGGAGCGUAGGCUGGUUGUUAAGUCAGUUGUGAAAGUUUGCGGCUCAACCGUAAAAUUGCAGUUGAUACUGGCAUCCUUGAGUACAGUAGAGGUAGGCGGAAUUCGUGGUGUAGCGGUGAAAUGCUUAGAUAUCACGAAGAACUCCGAUUGCGAAGGCAGCCUGCUGGACUGUAACUGACGCUGAUGCUCGAAAGUGUGGGUAUCAAAC
rnacentral:rRNA from 1 species